rnacentral:rRNA from 1 species
CGCCUCCUGCUCUACAUGUAUAGGAGGUCCAGCCUGCCCAGUGACGUAAAUGUUUAACGGCCGCGGUAUUCUGACCGUGCAAAGGUAGCGUAAUCACUUGUCUUUUAAAUAAAGACUAGUAUGAAUGGCACCACGAAAGUUCAACUGUCUCCUAUGUCUAAUCAGUGAAACUGAUCUCCCCGUGCAGAAGCGGGUAUAUCAACAUAAGACGAGAAGACCCCAUGGAGCUUUAAACUCUAAGCACCCACUUUACCUCUAAACCCCACGGGAUUAAUUUGUAAUCAAGUGGACAUGACCCACUGUUUUCGGUUGGGGCGACCACGGAGAAAAACACAUCCUCCGAGACGAAAGGGCAUACACCCUUAACCUAGAGCCACUACUCCAAGUAAUAGAACCUCUAACGCCAUGAUCCAAUCUUUUGAUCAACGAACCAAGUUACCCUGGGGAUAACAGCGCAAUCCAUUUUAAGAGUCCAUAUCGACAAAUGGGUUUACGACCUCGAUGUUGGAUCAGGGUGUCCUAGUGGUGCAGCCGCCACUAAGGGUUCGUUUGUUCAACGAUUAAAACCUUACGUGAUCUGAGUUCAGACCGGAGUAAUCCAGGUCAGUUUCUAUCUAU